AUGGGGGGAGGGUGCUCAGAUUCGCCUUUUAUCAGACAGGUAAAGAAAACAAAGUCGGUGGCUGCAACAAACAAGAGUUGCCCCGCCAAGCAACGGGCAUUUUUUCUUCAAAAGUCUGAACUUUAAUA